rnacentral:rRNA from 1 species
UACGGAGGGUCCGAGCGUUAUCCGGAUUUAUUGGGUUUAAAGGGUGCGUAGGCGGGAUACUCAGUCAGCUGUGAAAGUUUAAUGCUCAACAUUGAAAUUGCAGUUGAAACUGGUAUUCUUGAGUACAGUGGAAGUAGGUGGAAUUCGUGGUGUAGCGGUGAAAUGCUUAGAUAUCACGAAGAACUCCGAUUGCGAAGGCAGCUUACUAUCCUGUAACUGACGCUGAGGCACGAAAGUGUGGGUAUCCAACAGG